rnacentral:lncRNA from 1 species
UAAUUAAAAAAGAAAAAAGAAAGGUUGGAUGUUACAACUCUCCCCCUCUUAAAAGAAAUUUGGUCCCUCAAAUUUGCCUCUUACUCUUGAUAGAACAGCUGAGGGUACUGGGCUCUAAAGUCUGAUUCUAGCUCCCAUGUGGCUUCCCUUGGUGUGUGGUUCUGCCAUAUAACCUUCACAAAGGAUAUCUCCCGGUUGCGGAGUAAUCUGCUCUUUCGAUCCGCAAUGUCAACUGGUACUUCCUCAUAGGAUAAAUCCUCUCGGAGUGGAAGAUGUUCGUGGGACAAGACAUGAGAGGGGUCCGAGUUGUACUUGCGUAGCAUAGACACAUGAAACAAAUUGUGGACCUUAGAAAGUUCUAGAGGCAGUGCUAGUCUGUAGACGGUAGUACCAAUCCUGUUUAAGACUUCAAAUGGUCCAAUAAAUUGGAGAUUCAAUUUCCCCCUCUUGCCGAACCUACUGAUUCUCUUAAAAGAAGUGACCUUAAAGAACACCCAGUU